ACCAGAUAUGGUGGUGCACAUCUGUAAUCCCAGUGACUUGGGAGGCUGAGGCAGGAGGAUUUAAAGUCCAAGGCCAACCUCAGGAAUAUAGAGAGGCACUAAGCCACUUAGUGAGAUCCUGCCUCAA
rnacentral:sRNA from 1 species